GCCGCGUUAGCGUAGUGGUAGCGCGUCGCACUUGUAUACGCAGUUGCGCGUAAUGGAAUGCGAAGGUCACUCGUUCGACCCGGGUACGUGGCA
rfam:Ceriporiopsis subvermispora B unplaced genomic scaffold CERSTscaffold_9, whole genome shotgun sequence.